AGCUUAAAGCCUGGCUUAGGCACAGCAGCCGAUGCUUUUCGGCUGUUAUGCCUCGAGGAAUGGAAGAGUGCGCUGGUCUCUGUGGCGUGGGCUCUUCGCGGGGAUGUCGGUGUCGGUGUCGUCAGCAGUGCCAGGGCCCAGCUGAGACGGCAGCGGCCGACGGCAAGCGGGCCCUGGCAGAAAAGCACGUGGAGGCAGUCGAGGCAGGGCGGUGCUGUGCGGAGAGUGGAGGAAUUGGGAACCCCAUGCCGCCCCCACACUGCUCGCUGCAGGACCUGCCUGUGGAGAUGCUGGUGGAGAUCUUCGCCUGGCUCCCCGGCACCGACCUGCCCAGCCUGGCCCAGGCCUGCACCAAAUUCCGCCACAUCCUGUACACCGACAGCAUCUGGAGACGGCGCUGCCGGCAGGAGUAUGGCGUUCCUGAAAACUUGCAGAACCAGGAGAUGAUAGGUAUGUCUUAUCGAGAAGUCUAUGCGAAGCUGCUCCACCCAUACAGACACAUUUUGGGAUUGUGGCAGCUAGAUACUGAGGACUAUAGAACACUGCUGAAUGUCGUGGUGGACGGCUUAUGCAUUACUGGUUGGACGUACGGGCCUUCCCUUAACACCCACGUGGAUGGCCCACUGCAAUUCAAGCCCGCGUUCAGAAUUCGCCUGACGGAGAGGAAAUCAGCCACGGUGGAAUGCAUGGAAGGCCUCCACAGCAGGCCCCACAACCGCCACAUGCAGAUUCAGAAGGACAGGCUCACCCUCCAGUGCAACAAGACAGACCACCGAAAGGAUUUAACAGCGAGACUUAGGGAAGAACGGGCGCUGCUGCUGACGCUGACGCUGGGGUGGGAGGACAGAUAUCAGUAUGACUGCCUGGCCUACCGCCGCCUCUACCUCCCGCGGAGCCACCCGGAGGACCUCAUCAGGCCAGGCCUCUUCCAAGGCAACUACGAUGCCUUCGGCCUAAAGAUUGUCAUGCUCAGCUUCCAUGGGAAGUAUGCCAGGGUCACGAAGAUCACGGGAGACACCAUCAGGAUGUUAGAGAUCCACCUCAUGCGCCGCAUCCAGCUGCCAGAUGGCGAGUUCUUCCGCAACUUCAACGAGCUCUCCCGCGUGGUCCAGGAGAUUGAUGAGCAGGUGAUCCGGGAGCAGCAGCAGCAGCAAGAAGAGGGGACUGAGGAAAGCGAGGGCCAUGGCUGGCAGAGCCCUGCCCGGCCCAGCGUCAGAGAGUCCCGGGAUGCAGCUUCAGAGGAGCAGACUGUUCCCUUUGUUCUGCCUGUGGACAUGCUCUCAAGAGAGCAGAACUACCCCCGAACCUGCAGGAUGUGUUUCUAUGGCGUGGACACUGUUACCUUACCUGGCUUAGCCUACUGGGAGCGGUUCCCUGGAGUCUUCAUCCUGUUCGAUGAGAACCACUUCGGGUUCAUCUGGCUGAAGGUGAAAUACUUCAUCCUGUUCGGCAGAGUCCAGAACACCUUCCAGAAUGUGGAAGCAUCAUCCCCGCAGGCCUUCCUGGAGAUGCUCUAG